CCUACGGGAGGCAGCAGUGGGGAAUUUUGGACAAUGGGCGCAAGCCUGAUCCAGCCAUGCCGCGUGCGGGAAGAAGGCCUUCGGGUUGUAAACCGCUUUUGUCAGGGAAGAAAAGGUUCUGGCUAAUACCUGGGACUCAUGACGGUACCUGAAGAAUAAGCACCGGCUAACUACGUGCCAGCAGCCGCGGUAAUACGUAGGGUGCAAGCGUUAAUCGGAAUUACUGGGCGUAAAGCGUGCGCAGGCGGUUAUGCAAGACAGAGGUAAAAUCCCCGGGCUCAACCUGGGAACUGCCUUUGUGACUGCAUGGCUAGAGUACGGUAGAGGGGAAUGGAAUUCCGCGUGUAGCAGUGAAAUGCGUAGAUAUGCGGAGGAACACCGAUGGCGAAGGCAAUCCCCGGGACAUGUACUGACGCUCAUGCACGAAAGCGUGGG
rnacentral:rRNA from 1 species